rnacentral:tRNA from 1 species
UAAGGGAGACCUAAUUCCGGUAGGAGACGAAAAAAAGUAGUCCCAACCAAGAAUCAAUCCCAAAAGGUCGGAGCGAGGCGAAAUUGGCUUUCAAACUAGGUUCUGGGUUCACACAAGACCUGAAUCAGGAACAAGGGCUAUUAGCUCAGGUGGUUAGAGCGCACCCCUGAUAAGGGUGAGGUCCCUGGUUCGAGUCCAGGAUGGCCCACCUGCACAGGUGGCAAAAACAAAGAAAAAAAGCUCCGAAUCAGCACCUUAUCUUACUUAUACAGUAAGAGAGAAUGCUGGCUCUGAGUUCAGAGUCCAGAGGAACCUUGAAAACUGCAUAGAGCUAGGUGAAAAAGCCAAAAAAGAAGACCGCAAG